rnacentral:piRNA from 1 species
UCCNGUGUCUUAGUGCUUGAAUGAGCCAGCC